UACGGAGGGUGCUAGCGUUGUUCGGAAUCACUGGGCGUAAAGAGCGUGUAGGCGGCCAAGCAGGUCCGCUGUGAAAACUCGAGGCUCAACCUCGAGACGUCGGUGGAAACCGUUUGGCUAGAGUCCGGAAGAGGAGAGUGGAAUUCCCGGUGUAGCGGUGAAAUGCGCAGAUAUCGGGAAGAACACCCGUGGCGAAGGCGGCUCUCUGGGACGGUACUGACGCUGAGACGCGAAAGCGUGGGGAGCGAACAGG
rnacentral:rRNA from 1 species